UGGGGUAUAGCCAAGCGGUAAGGCAGAUGGCUCUGACCCAUCGAUGCGUAAGUUCGAAUCUUACUACCCCAGCCA
rnacentral:tRNA from 1 species